rnacentral:rRNA from 1 species
UGGGGAAUAUUGCACAAUGGGGGAAAACCCUGAUGCAGCGACGCCGCGUGAAGGAAGAAGUAUCUCGGUAUGUAAACUUCUAUCAGCAGGGAAGAUAGUGACGGUACCUGACUAAGAAGCCCCGGCUAACUACGUGCC